UCAGUCCUCAAGGUUGCAGACAGGACAUUUCACAUUCCAGGCAUGGAGCCUGCCUUUCCAAAUAAAACUUGCAGCUCUCCCCCAAGACAAACAGGAGCAAAUAUUUUCCAAUCUCAGCAAUUUUGCAAGGGGGCCAUCCGACUGCGGACUCAAGGCGCUUAUCAAACCUUCUAUGGUGGACAGGUGGAAAAGAUGCACAUAGCAACCAUCAACUUCUACUGUAGCAACCAUUUAAUAGAGUGUACUUGAUAAAUCACUGGUUGCUAUCGGUAAUGUCUCCCCAUACAAAUGUUUUCUUUAAAUGAAAAGCUUAAUAAAAUAUUUGUUG